CCUACGGGAGGCAGCAGUGAGGAAUAUUGGUCAAUGGACGAAAGUCUGAACCAGCCAAGCCGCGUGAAGGAAGACGGCUCUAUGGGUUGUAAACUUCUUUUAUAUGGGAAUAAAAUGUUCCACGUGUGUGAUUUUGUAUGUACCAUAUGAAUAAGGAUCGGCUAACUCCGUGCCAGCAGCCGCGGUAAUACGGAGGAUCCGAGCGUUAUCCGGAUUUAUUGGGUUUAAAGGGAGCGUAGGUGGAUUGUUAAGUCAGUUGUGAAAGUUUGCGGCUCAACCGUAAAAUUGCAGUUGAAACUGGCAGUCUUGAGUACAGUAGAGGUGGGCGGAAUGCGUGGUGUAGCGGUGAAAUGCUUAGAGAUCACGAAGAACUCCGAUUGCGAAGGCAGUUCACUGGACUGCAACUGACACUGAGGCUCGAAAGUGUGGGUAGCAAACAGGAUUAGAUACCCGGGUAGUC
rnacentral:rRNA from 1 species